AUUGAACGCUGGCGGCAGGCCUAACACAUGCAAGUCGAGUGGAUGAAGGGAGCUUGCUCCUGGAUUCAGCGGCGGACGGGUGAGUAAUGCCUAGGAAUCUGCCUGGUAGUGGGGGAUAACGUCCGGAAACGGGCGCUAAUACCGCAUACGUCCUGAGGGAGAAAGUGGGGGAUCUUCGGACCUCACGCUAUCAGAUGAGCCUAGGUCGGAUUAGCUAGUUGGUGGGGUAAAGGCCUACCAAGGCGACGACCCGUAACUGGUCUGAGAGGAUGAUCAGUCACACUGGAACUGAGACACGGUCCAGACUCCUACGGGAGGCAGCAGUGGGGAAUAUUGGACAAUGGGCGAAAGCCUGAUCCAGCCAUGCCGCGUGUGUGAAGAAGGUCUUCGGAUUGUAAAGCACUUUAAGUUGGGAGGAAGGGCAGUAAGUUAAUACCUUGCUGUUUUGACGUUACCAACAGAAUAAGCACCGGCUAACUUCGUG
rnacentral:rRNA from 1 species